CUGCGUGUUAUAAUCUAUUCAUCUUCGUCUCUCGAUGGAGUUAGGGUUACGUGCUCAGAAGUUGCAGACUCAAAUUUCCAAACUGAACAAUGUCAGAUCACCACCAUUUUCCGGAGGAACUCCAGAUCGAGAUCCUCAAAAGGCUCCCAGUCAAGUCCCUUCUACGCUUCACCGCCGUUUCCAAAUCGUGGUACUUCAUCAUCACCAGCACCGCCUUCAUCUCCGCCCAUUGCCGCCACCAUAGGAACGGUAACUCCGCCGCUAACCUCCUCCUCCUCCGACGUUAUAACAAAUCCUACAAAGUGGAAAAAUGUUCCGUACUCAGCCACACUGACCGCCAAUUGCUCAGCCUCAAUAAUUCCCACGAACUCAGCUUCCCAAUUUCACGCGUAAUCAGGUAUUUGCGUACAGUUGGCUUCUAUAACGGCGUCUUUUGUUUAUCGGAGGAUCAAUGUAGUGAUCCGCAUUCUGUAACUUUGUGGAAUCCCAGUAUUCGAAAGCUUAGGACCUUACCUUGUCCCUCUAUUAGGCCCGCUUGCCAAUUUAGGUUUGUACUUGGAUUCGGUGCUAGUCCACGAAGUGAUGAUGAUCUUAAGGUGGUGAGAGUUGUGUAUGAAAGGAAAGGUGUUAAUUUGGAUAUAGGACCAGUCAUCCCACCUUUGGUUGAGAUCUAUUCUCUCAGCACUGGGGUGUGGAGAAGGAUAACAGCACCUGGGGUUAACUACUAUAUAGUCGAUUACAUUUGGCCUCAGGCCUUUGUCAAUGGAGCAGUACAUUGGAUUGGGUACAAAUUGCUUGAGGAUAAAAGUUUUCAGAGUUUGAUAGCAGUUUUCACCAUGACUGAUGAGUUGUUUGAUGAGAUUAUGCUCCCAGAUGAAUUGCUUUCGGUGGACCCAUCAAAUUUAUCUGUUAUUGUGUAUGAGGAGUUUGUUGCAGUUGUUAAGUAUAGUAGAAGGAUACAGGGUGAUUCAUGUGAAUUGUGGAUAAUGAAAGAGUAUGGAGUUGUGGAUUCUUGGACUAAGCUGCCUACUAUAGAAUUGGUGGGAGGGAUGAAAAAACUUGUUGGCUUUAGGGAAAAUGGUGAAUUAUUGCUAUCUACUAAGAAAAGUGGGCUGGUUUCCUACUGUCCAGAUACUAGAGUCGUCAAUGAUCUUGGCAUUUUGGGAAACAACCGCUCAUUUUAUGUUCAUAAAUAUUUGGGGGAAUUCCUUGUUUUGCUUCGAGAACAAAUCCCCCUGUGAAUUGAAGAGAAGAUAGAGUGAGUCAGUUCUUUUAAAACAUGAAGUAUUGCAGGGCGUAACAUAUCUACAACAUUUUUGCUCUUAGGGCAUGUCAGUAACCAAACUAUUAAUGUUUUCUUUAGAGCUGAAUCAAUUUAUGCAAGUUACAUUUGAACAGAUACUGCAAUGUAAUAGAGUUAGUGCAAUGUAUCAAGCAGAAGAAAGUCAAUAGCAAUCUUUGGUGGACUACACAAUGGCAAAGCAAGUUUUUCUUUCCG